AUACUUACCUGGAAGGGGAGAUACCAGGAUCACGAAGGUGGUUUUCCCAGGGUGAGGCUCAAUUUUGCACUCUGGGUGUGCCUAUCCCGUUGGUUUCCCCAAAUGUGGGAAACUAGACUGCAUAAUUUGUGGUAGUGAGGGACUGCCUUUGCAUGCUUUCUCCUG
rfam:Cavia porcellus supercont2_17 genomic scaffold, whole genome shotgun sequence.